ACUCCUACGGGAGGCAGCAGUGAGGAAUAUUGGUCAAUGGAGGCAACUCUGAACCAGCCAUGCCGCGUGCAGGAUGACUGCCCUAUGGGUUGUAAACUACUUUUUAUACAGGAAGAAACGUACCCUCGUGAGGGUGCCUGACGGUACUGUAGGAAUAAGCACCGGCUAACUCCGUGCCAGCAGCCGCGGUAAUACGGAGGGUGCGAGCGUUAUCCGGAUUUAUUGGGUUUAAAGGGUCCGUAGGCGGAUUAAUAAGUCAGUGGUGAAAUCCCAUCGCUUAACGAUGGAACUGCCAUUGAUACUGUUAGUCUUGAAUGAGGGUGCAGUGUUGGAAUGUGUAGUGUAGCGGUGAAAUGCAUAGAUAUUACACAGAACACCGAUUGCGAAGGCAGAUCACUAACCCUAAAUUGACGCUGAGGGACGAAAGCGUGGGAGCGAACAGGAUUAGAUACCCCUGGUAGCGACUGA
rnacentral:rRNA from 1 species